rnacentral:rRNA from 1 species
GACGAACGCUGGCGGCGUGCCUAAUACAUGCAAGUCGAGCGCAGGAGGCUGACGGAACUCUUCGGAGAGAAGGCAGUGGAAUGAGCGGCGGACGGGUGAGUAACACGUAAGGAACCUGCCUCAAGGAUUGGGAUAACUCCGAGAAAUCGGAGCUAAUACCGGAUAGUUCAACGGACCGCAUGGUCCGCUGAUGAAAGGCGCUUCGGCGUCACCUUGAGAUGGCCUUGCGGUGCAUUAGCUAGUUGGUGGGGUGACGGCCCACCAAGGCGACGAUGCAUAGCCGACCUGAGAGGGUGAUCGGCCACACUGGGACUGAGACACGGCCCAGACUCCUACGGGAGGCAGCAGUAGGGAAUCUUCCACAAUGGACGAAAGUCUGAUGGAGCAACGCCGCGUGAGUGAUGAAGGUUUUCGGAUCGUAAAACUCUGUUGUAAGGGAAGAACACGUACGAGAGGGAAUGCUCGUACCUUGACGGUACCUUACGAGAAAGCCACGGCUAACUACGUGCCAGCAGCCGCCGUAA